AAAACAAGGGCUGGAGAGAUGGCUCAGAGG
rnacentral:piRNA from 1 species